UCGAAUAUAUCAUUCUUUUUCAUCUCUCUCUCGCUCUCUCUCUUUCUCUCUCGGUCGAACACCAAAAUUGCCAAAGGUAGGCGAUUGAAUGAAAGGCUAUGUAAUCAAAGGAGAUUGGGGUUAGAGGAGAUCCGAUGAUGAGGAUAUUGAACCUGCGGAGGCCAUUCGGAGGAUACUGAAUCGACUCCGAGAUUGAUUUGGUUGAGAUUUGAUUUUGGAGUCGAUUGAUUCGGAUGAGAUUGAGGAAUUGGAAUCGGCUGUUCUCUAUUUGCAGAUUAGUUUGAAUAACGAUGAAGAAGAAGACUCCGACUGCUUAGGACUUUCAUCUUUAAACAUUGGCAAGGGAGGGCUUAGUAACCAGCCAGCAUAUAGAGAGACAUCUGCAAUUGCUUUAACAAAAGAAGUGUCUGACUAAGCAGUUCAAAGAGAUAUGGUUUGAACUUUAAAGUAUGAAUGCAGUUUCAUAAUAAAAACUUGGCCGAUGAGAAUGCUCACGGUAACAACAUCAGAGUGAUUCUAGUGAUUGAUGGUCUUUGACUCAAUACAAUACGUCUUCCUUGUCCACUUCGAAUUCCCCAUCCAUAAGUUUUCGCUAGAUGGAGAUAUUAUAUGGUUCCCUUUCCUCCGAUGGAAAAUUCUCUCUUCUUGCUCCCCAACCUAUUUGGAAGCUGUCCAAAAUUGUGGACACCACUAUCAUCAACAGACUUAAAAGGCGUUAAGAUCAGAGAUGGUUUGAAGAAUGAUGAAGACAACCCAGACGCUUAAGGUUUUGUAUCUAUCAUCAACACAGUUCAUAAGUGAAGUCUGAGAUUUUGGUUUUGUUUGUUGUUGUUUCUCUACAUGGAUUUGAUGAAACAUGAUAUAUGCAAUAAUUUUAUAUUGUACUUUAAUUUAUUUAUUUUCAAAAAAAAAAUUCAAAUUUA